CACUGUGUGUCAUCGCGCGCACGCUGCUGCACGCCGCUCGCGCGGCGACAGACACCAUGCUCUGCAUCAGCUGAUCGUGAUUGUCUCGAUCCCACAACGCGUCGCAUCGUCGCUGUGGUGGGCGAAGUGUCCGACUCCGGAAAAGUCGCGGACGGAAAGCCGCAUUAUAUAAAGCGCGCGAGCGGGCGCGGCAUGCAGUGUGAGAUACAUACGUAACGGUCAGGUCAGGUCGGAGAGGUUACUGCGAGUGGUCGUCCAUUGUCGUCGUAAUUUACGACUCGCAUUGCUGUCGCGUCACGUCGUGUCACGUCGCGAUCGUCAAUCUCGUCAUACGAAGAGUGCGCGUGAUAACUGCGUGAUUCUUGAUAGCGAGCGCGUUGCGAGUUGGACUUGCGUUCAAGGACGGCCACCGGACGUCGAAGCUGCUAUUGUAGAAGAGGCGGGAACCGACGGAGUGUCUCGUGUGUUCUCUCUCUCUCUCUCUCUCUCUCUCUCUCUCUCUCUCUCACGAUUUUUACUCUUCGUGUUCAAUAUGCCUUGUUCUCGUGCAAAGUUCAUCCCUGCCGGUAAUUCGUCGAUGUGAUAGUGCGCGAGGGUGAGUCACGAUAAGAAUCGGCAUCUGUCGUAUUCUCGUGACUGCCGCCCAUGCACGAGGACGACGAUCUAUUGAACUCACGAGGUUCGAUUGUUCAAGUUCCUUCGGCAGCAUUUGCCUGACUCAGUUCAGAAGAAUGUUCAGUAAUCUGAGCGAAGUUGAGCCAUUUAACGAAACGCCGAUGGAGAUGCCUCUGGAGCGAGAGUCCUGCGAAGGUGAUGACCAAGCGAUAAUAGAAGAAAGUCCAAAGGACAAUAUUGAAACUGAUACUGUGAGUGAAGUGAUUUACGCCGAACCUUUGACUCCUGAGGAAAUACGGUGGUUUUACAAAGACAGCGUUGACAAAAGGUGGAAUGAGUUUUGCGGAUAUGACAGCUUAAGGAUUGAGAAAAUUUAUCAGGAGCGCCAGAACUUAAUUAGCGAGAGUAUGACAAACGGUUUGCCACCUGCUGAGAAAAUUGUAGUCAGAGGUGGCAUGUACGAUGUCGAAAUCGACAACAUGAAAUGCGUUUCAAUAUAUUGGCCAGGCGAAGAAUGGGAGAUUAUGAGAGGCACAUGGUAUUAUGAUGGCAGCUGGAUACCAUUGGAAAUGGAACAUUCCAAAGUCAUAGAAGAAGUACAUCUCAAAUUAUUUCAAAAGGAAGAAAGUAACAAUGAAAAUAUCACAAUGUGUGACACAAAUGCUCCUCAGUCCUAUAAAGUGCUACAUACGGAGCAGUUCUCUGAGUUUCAUGUCGACUGGCAUUCAAUUAAUGAUGUGACAUUAUAUAGCGAAUAUACACCUACUAAACUGAUGCGUAGUGUCACAUCAAAAUUGGGUUUUUCUAAAACAACAGGCUAUCGAUUAAAAAGAGGUUACAAAACUGGUACGAGUAUGGAGGAUAAACCGCGUGAUAUCGACCAUCUAGUAUUUGUCGUCCACGGAAUAGGACAAAAGCGAGAUACAGGGAAAAUAAUACGCAAUACUACGUGUUUCAGAGAUUGCGUGGAUUGGCUUAAGCGGAAAUAUUUUCCAAAUUCUAACCACAGAGUAGAAUUUUUUCCAGUUGAAUGGCGGUCAUCAUUAAAGUUAGAUGGAGACAUUGUAGACGCAAUUACACCUUAUAGUGUAUUGAGCAUUCGUCACUUGCUAAAUACAUCAGCGAUGGAUAUUUUAUAUUAUACAAGUCCCCUGUAUGGAGCCGAGGUCCGAGCUGGUUUGCAGAAAGAGCUGAACAGUUUAUAUUUUAUGUUCGCGAGUCGGCAUCCUGGUUGGCAGGGAAAAAUCUCAAUUUUGGCACACUCCUUGGGUUGCGUGAUUGUAUACGACAUAGUUACUGGUUGGAUAGGACCUGACACGCGACUCUCGUGCCCGCAAGCGCAGGAAGUGUUAAUGCAAGGAUUGCAAUUUCCCAUUGAGAACUUGUUUUGCUUGGGCUCGCCAUUAUCCGUAUUCUUAGCACUGCGCACACGCGCUCCCUCCAAUAGGCUGGAUGUGAUGCCGCAAGGAUUAUGUAAGAGAUUUUACAACAUAUUUCACUGGUCCGAUCCGGUGGCUUACAGAAUGGAGCCACUUUUGGAAAGAGGUUACAGUAAAAUUGAGCCAGUUCUGAUACCACCGUACGGAGGAGUCGACGGUCAACAAAUGCUACAAUCACCUUCAUCAUUGAAUAGUGUUGAUCCGACUUUACCAUCUACAGACACUGAUGAUAAAGAUGAUAGCCUAGUAGGCAGCCCACCCAAUCGUAAUGCGGAUAAAGGUUGGAGCCUUUGGGGUUUAGUGCGAGGCGGCUGGAACGUAAGAGAAGGUCCGUCUUCGCCAACACCAGACUCAAAUCCAUCAAUCCGUCCAGAUCAAGUGUAUAUAAUAUGGAUCCAAACAUCAUGUUGAUGAUUAUUAUGAAAUAUCUCAUGCAAGCAAGGGAUGAACCGAUAAGAUAUGCAGAGAUAACUAAGAAAAAGUUAUUUACACGUUUUAUUUGUACUUGCGUUACAAAAAAUUACAAAAAACAAGAAAGGACCGUAGUAUAUGAGUACGAUCUAUUUUUGCUGAGAGAAGAAUUCUGCAAGGUGACAGCGAUAAUUUACUUGUGGAAAUGCGAUUAACAAAUUCAUAAAAAUAUUUCAACUACUUUCAAAUGUCACCAACAAUCUUUAACGAGUUAUUGAAUAUUGUUGGACCACUGAUCGAGAAACAAAAUGUUGUUCGAAAUUCAAUACCAGCCAGAACAAGAUUAGAAGUGACUGUACGAUGGUUAGCAUCUGGUGACAGCAUGACAUCGAUAUCAUAUGCUUAUCGCAUUGCCCAAUGUACGCUAUCCCAAAUUAUUCCGGAAACUUGUGAAGCAAUUUGGAUCUCCCUAAAAGAUAAAGUUAUAAUUGAUCCAACUGAAGAAAAUUGGAGUACGAUUGCAAGAGACUUUGAGACAAUAUGCCAAUUUCCAAACUGCAUAGGCGCUAUCGAUGGGAAGCAUGUCAUAAUUCAGGCACUUCCUCGUAGUGGUUCGAGCUACCACAAUUAUAAAGGAAAUUUUAGCAUAAACUUGCUUGCUGUAAGUGAUGCUAAGAACCGCUUCACUGUCGAUAUUGGAGCUGAAGGAAGGCAAAGCGACGGAGGUGUUUUUGAAAACAGCGGAUUGCCGCAUUUACUUGCGACGAAUACUCUUCAUGUUCCUCCAGCUACACGUCUAAAUAGUAUAGAUUUUGAUUUUCCAUACGUUUUAGUGGGAGAUGAGGCCUUUCCUCUGAGCAUAUAUAUGAUGCGACCAUACCCUUGAAGUCGACAGUUAAAUAUGAGCAAAAAAAUUUUUAACUAUCGUCUAAGUCGAGCAAGAAGAACAGUUGAAUGUACUUUCGGAAUUAUGGUUGCAAGAUGGAGAAUAUAUCGUCAAUCUAUUAUUGCAGGCAUAUCUACUGCCAUGAAAGCUGUACAGGCAACGGUUAUCUUAAAUAAUUUUAUUAUAAAUAAAGAACUGGACUUACUACUUGCAGAAAGAAGGUGCUGUAUUAUACAAGAAGAGGAACGCAAUUUUCUGGUUACAAGUAAUGGGCUUAUAGUUGUAAAUAAUAGAAACUCUUCGCGAAAAUCUGCAGCAGUAAAAAUUCAAGACAACUUGGCUCAUUAUUUCGAGCAUAUCAAUCCUUUACCGUGGCAGUGAGAAAAAGUUUUAACUAACAACUUUUAAACAUUAUGUACUUUCAAUUUAACGCGUUGUAAUUGUAAUUAAAAUCUUGUAUAUUAUAAUUGGAAAAAAUUUUUUACGAUAUAUUUGUACGUAGUUUGUUUAACGAUAUUCUCCUAAAAUUUAAUAGUGUAGAACUUUGCACAACAAUGUAACAAAUUGAAUGAAAAAAUCUAUUUUAUUUUUUGUAACACAAUAUUUUAUAAUAUACUUCUAUAAUAUCACUCUUAUAAUAUCAGUCUUUUUAAUAUAAUACUAUAAAAUAUAUCAAAUAAAAAAUUUAUAUAAAAAAAGACGUUUCUAUUGCACGUUCUGCCUCUCCAGCAACACGGCAUCCUCAUUUUUUAUAGCCAUAUCCGUGAGUCUUCUUUGCAAGUUUCUGCGUCGUAUGUAUGGCAGUCUGCGUAGAAUAUCGCCAAGUUGAUCCAAAAAACUGUCAGUUACAUCAUGUUUCUGUUUCGAUGUUUUGUCUAGCAUACUCAAAAAUUUAUUUUCGAUAUCAGCUUGCCUUUGCACAUCUGUAAUUAAUAAUAUAUGAUGAAUACCUAAAAAAACAAAACCAAGAGAAAGUUGCUUCUUACUUUUAUCGAUUUUCUGCUUUUUUGAGCCUUGUGACGAACAGGACGAUCUUCUUAAUGAUUAUGAUAAUAAAUGAAUGAUGGAUGCAGAAUCAUCCAGUAUGGAAUUAUCAUCGGUAAAGUUGUCUGCAGUCAUGUCCACUUGCAUACCAUCCAUGUCAGUGUUGGAUGAAUUUGAUUGCAAAAGGGAUUGGAUAGAGCUGACGCUUCUGAAACCAAAACAGUUUUACAAAUUAUUAAAUCCAAUUGCACACAAUUUAAAAUCUCAAAUAAAAAACUUAUAAAACGUAUAAAUACUUACGGUGUUGCCUUUUCCGUAUCAUCGAGAAACCUCAUUUGCUCGUAAUAAGCAAAAGAACUUUUUAUUGGAUGACCGGAUUCCGCUCCCCUUUCAUAUAUGAAUCUCGAAGAUGUUUCCAUCUUUGUUUUGCAGCUUCCAUAGACAAGGAUCCUAUGAUUGUACACAGAAUCCUUUGUUUAUUUUUACAGGCCAAUAAUAUAUUUUUUAUAAAUAAUUAAAGAAUGAUCAUACCAUCAAAUACGUUUGCAAUCUCUUGCCAUAAACUAUCCUUUUUCAAUUUGGUUCUUUCUUUGACCGGAAUAGAAUGGUCCCAUAAAGCCUUUCGUAUUCGAAUCAACUCAAUAAGUAGCUCAUCUUGUAUGAGUGUAGAUUCUGCGGUAGACUGUACAGCUCUUUCCGAAUGUCUUGGUCCUUUAAAAUAAAUAAACAAUAACUUAAAUUAGCGCGAAAUAAUUUAACUGAUCGUUCUGAUAGAUCAGUAAUAUACAAGUCCUACAACCUCAUGUACAAAAUAUACAUUGUUAAAAUUACAUAUUAUUAUGUACUUGUGAUUAAUAAUAAUAAUACAUUUGACUAAUUAUAUCAUUUUGCAAAGUUAUUAUGUCUCAUUUAAAAAGUGUGCACAAAGCAUCAAAUGUAAAAAAAUAUCAUCUGGAUCUGCCUACUCAGCUAUUUAUAUUGAUAAUGGACAAAUCUGGUAAAUAUUUUAGCCAUUAUGUCGCUGAAAUGUUGUUAGCACAAUGCCUUGGUGAUGACAUAAUGGCCAAAAUGUUUAUCAGAAAUUUAACAAA